rnacentral:rRNA from 1 species
UACGAAGGGAGCUAGCGUUGUUCGGAAUCACUGGGCGUAAAGCGCACGUAGGCGGAUUUGUCAGUCAGGGGUGAAAUCCCGGGGCUCAACCUCGGAACUGCCUUUGAUACAGCAAGUCUUGAGUUCGAGAGAGGUGGUGGAAUUCCUAGUGUAGAGGUGAAAUUCGUAGAUAUUAGGAAGAACACCGGUGGCGAAGGCGGCCCACUGGCUCGAUACUGACGCUGAGGUGCGAAAGCGUGGGGAGCAAACAGGGAU